rnacentral:rRNA from 1 species
AUGGACGAAAGUCUGAUGGAGCAAUACCAUGUGAACGAUGAAGGCCUUUUUGGUUGUAAAGUUCUUUUACGAGGGAUAAUUAUGAUAGUACUUCGUGAAUAAGUGACAGCAAACUAUGUGCCAGCAGCUGCGGUAAUACAUAGGUCGCGAGCAUUAUUCGGAUUUAUUGGGCGUAAAGCAAGCGCAGGCGGAUGUGUAAGUUCUGUGUUAAAUGCAGCUACUCAAUAGUUGUAUGCACCGAAUACUACAUGUCUAGAUUGUGGUAGGGAGUUUCGGAAUUAAGCAUGGAGCGGUGGAAUGUGUAGAUAUGCUUAAGAACACCAGAGGCGAAGGCGGAAACUUAGGCCAUAAAUGACGCUUAGGCUUGAAAGUGUGGGGAGCAAAUGGGAUUAGAUACCCCAGUAGUCCACACCGUAAACGAUGGGUAUUAGAUAUUAGGGCUUUAGCUUUAGUGUUGUAGCUUACGCGUUAAAUACCCCGCCU